rnacentral:lncRNA from 1 species
GAAUUGAGGAAAGUAUUUCAAGUAAAGGAGAAGGUCCGGUAAGAACCGAUUUUUGCCUCAAAUUCCAGGUUCAUCUGACGAAAGAUGUUGACCACUUUUGAAAAACUUAAGUGUCUAUUUUAUUCGAUUCAUUUAAUUUAUGUGAAAGAUUGUAACUAACUUAGUGCUUAAAAACAAUCUGAUUUAAGCUCAAAUAUGACAAAUCUUACAAAUGCGCCAA